rnacentral:tRNA from 1 species
AAAUAAAUAUCUCAUAAUAUUGACAUGAAUUU